UUUUUCACACUAAAAGUUUCAUUCAACAUUGAAAUAUACAAAGGUGGAAUAGAUACAGACCGACAGUACAAAUGAAUAACUCCGGUAAAAGUAGCCGGCGAAAACAACAAGUUUUCCCAGAGACAUAAAAACCAUACACAUAAACCUUGAUUACAACAGACCCUAAUGAAGAACAAAGGAUAAUUCUAUUGAUGCCCAUAACCUAAAAUCGAAACAUGCAUGUAGUCAUCAAGAGAUUUUUUUGACGGAGAAGAAUCAAUGGACUCCAAUUGAUUAGUCCAAAGACUAGCGAAUCCUCCUAUAGUGAAUAAGCCCAAACAUAUUGAGAACAACAGCUUCGGAGACAGGCAACAUUGAACUACAAAAGUUCAUGAGAAAGAAACCGGACUCGGCGGAAACGAAGAGAUUUGAUUCGAACCACCAAACUGAAGCUUGAUUAAAGAUUAGAUCUCGAACAGAUCUAUAAGUUAAUGACAAGGAGCGAACUUUUCACCUCGGGAUUUCACCACUCACCAGAAGACGAGCAAGGCAGAAGAUCGAACCAGAGACGAAGCAAAGAAAUCUUGAGACCAACAUGCAAAUGAUCCGACAGAACCAGGGACCAAAUAGAACAUCGAAGGGUCAGUCAGAAAGCACAUGCAUCAAGGUGAUGAACAAAGGAAGAUCAAGAGCGAGCCCCAAUCACUCCAUAUAGGAAAAAGACUAGAACAAGAUCUAGAUUCAACCGUUGAGAGAGACAAGAGAACCAAAAGAGAUCUAACCCGACAAACACAAAAGAAAACAGAUCUGAAAGAACUAAACCGAACUCCGGCUCUAUGAGAGCAGCCGGAGCCGGAGAACAUAAGAACUGGUUGGGGUCUCUAGAGAGAAGGCAGAGGAUUUACAAAAAAAAAAAAAAACUUUUACAUUCCAAAUUUAAAGAUUUUAAAUUUUUUUAAAAUUUAAAAUCAAAACAAAAAAAAAUCACAGCUACAAUUAAAAAAUAAAAUCACAGCUACCAAUCAAACUCUAUAUUACAAUAACAUGCUUCUCUUUCUACUUGUCAAGUCAAAUUAUAUUCUUAUUUCUUUUUUUUUUUGUAAACUAAUUAUAUUAUAUUCUUAUUUCAGAUCAAGAAUCUCAAGUUCGUAGCUACUAAUGCAAUUUUGGAUACAAAAAAGAUGACAUGUCAAUACACGAAGAUGAAUUUUCAUAUUUUAUUUAAGAUUUGAAAACACGGUGUUUUAUUUAUUUUUUAAACGACAGAAUUAGUAUAUUUGUCUAACUAAUUUACUACUACCAUUUAAGGAAAAACACCCACUAGAAACUGGC
rnacentral:lncRNA from 1 species